UUUGGUUUUUUGUAAUUUAAAUUUUUAACUGUGGUGAAAUUUCGACUACUGGACGACGACCAGUAUUAUAUAAUUAAACAACAUUGUUUACAUUGUUUUUGAAGGUGAAGAUAAAAUUCAAAUAUUAAAGUUAAAACACAAACUUAGUCGCAAUCGGAAAUGUGGGUAAUUUUAAAAUUACAAUCGCGGAAAUUUUCUUAAAGUAUAAACGUGAAAAAUUAUUAUAUUAAUUUUAUAUAUUAUUUAUUUAUAAUUUAUUGUAAACCACUACCUUUUACACAUCAAGCAUAUUUUAAGAUAGUCAUAGACAGUAACAACCUAAGUAAAGUAAGGAUAAAUUUAUGUUUAGCUCGAGAGAGGGUAGGUGGUGCAGUUAUAUAAUAAACUUGCAUGCAAAUAUAUACAUAA
rnacentral:misc_RNA from 1 species